rnacentral:rRNA from 1 species
AUUGAACGCUGGCGGAAUGCUUUACACAUGCAAGUCGGGCGGCAGCGCGGGGGCAACCCUGGCGGCGAGCGGCGAACGGGUGAGUAAUACAUCGGAACGUGUCCUUGAGUGGGGGAUAGCUCGGCGAAAGCCGGAUUAAUACCGCAUAAGCUCUGAGGAGGAAAGCGGGGGACUGGUAACGGCCUCGCGCUGUUGGAGCGGCCGAUGUCGGAUUAGCUAGUUGGUGGGGUAAAGCCCACCAAGGCGACGAUCCGUAGCUGGUCUGAGAGGAUGAUCAGCCACACUGGAACUGAGACACGGUCCAGACUCCUACGGGAGGCAGCAGU